UAGAAUCACCCUCUUUUGUAACCGCCCACUCCAAGCUAAGCCCAGGUAGAAUUGGCAGUUGGCUUGUUACUCUUACUUCUCUGGGCUUUUCAUAAACAGUGGAAUUAUAUUUACUUUUUCCUCUCUUCCUUUCAUGCAGAGCCCAAGGAUGAAAACAGAGAAGUAAUUAAUGGCAGCUUUCCUGGGCCAGAAGAAUAAAUAAGGAAUUAUCUUACAAACAGCAACCAUGAAAUUAGAAGUUUGGUAAAACAUGUUGCAGAAGAACCAGGAAACACAUUGCAAUUGAGCCUGCUGGGUGCUGCUGCAAGUUUGGGGGUGAACAGGAGAAUCAGGUUCUUAUAGGGGUGAAGUCUGCAAAGUAGGAUGUUUUCCUAAUUUGAAUGCAAUGACUGAAGUGGAAAAUGGUCAAGUGAGUUUUUGAAAGAAAUAUUUUCUCUAAUAUAAAAUUUUUGAAUUGAUUCUUUUUUUUGUUUCUUAAAACAAGUUCUAUUCUUAUAGAAAAAGAAAAAAAUGCCAGUAAUCUUUAUAAUACCCAUUAAAAUAAAGUCUCUGUAGCCCACAAGGCCCCGAAGAAACUCAGCUCAAAGACCAUUCGGCAGAAGGUAAGGCAGCAUUCUCCUACAUUGUAGACAACAGCUCUUUCUCAAGAUGGUAGGAUCAAAGUUUUCUCAUUUUGUAUAUAUUUCUACAUUAACAAAAAAUGUAUGAUCUUUUGUAUAUUUACUAAAUACAACCAUGACCUACAUUAAUGUCAUGAAUGAUUUCAUAUACUUUUGAAUGUUCUACUUUAUUUUUAAUUUUUUGGUUGAGACAGGGUCUCACUCUGUCACCCAGGGUGGAGUGCAAUGGCACCAUCUUGGCUCACUGCAACCUCCACCUCCCAGGUUCAAGCAAUUCUCAUGCCUCAGCCUCCCAGGUAGCUGGGAUUACAGCUAUUUUUUGUAUUUUUAGUAGAGACGGGGUUUCACCAUGUUGGCCAGGCUGGUCUCAAACUCCUGGCCUCAUGUGACCCACCAAAGUGCUGGGAUUACAAGCAUGAGCCGCUAUGCCUGGCCUCUAUUUAUUUAAAAUAUGAAAAGUUAGGGGCUAAUUCCUUCCCACCCCUCCAUCCCUCAUCCUGCAAGAUAUGCCCCUGCUCUGGUUUGGAAAAUCCACUAGAAGGAUUAAGAGUCCUGGUAAGUCAUGCAGAGUGAAAUAGUGAGCUCAGUGACACACAGCAUGGAGAAUGGACACCCAACAGGAAGAAUGUGCCCAUAUGCAUAAAUGGAAUUGCUGUGGGGAUUAGGAAAAUGUACAACAAAAUUGAUCUUUAAUCUGUCAAUUAAUGAUUAGGGGUCAGUCCUCAAUUUUCUCUUGUCUCUCUGGGUCACCACCUAAAUGACCUAAUCCAAUCCUGUAUCUCUAUACAAUGACAACUCCCAAAUUUAUAACUCUAUGUUUAGACUCUUCUCUAUACUUUAGACUUAUCUGUGCAACUGCCUACUGGAUAUCUUGAAUUUCUCUUCAAAGUUGUUCCUUCCCUGUGCUUUAUCAAUGCAGUGAACGGACGCUCCAUUCUUCUACUUGUUCAGAAAAAAAAGUUGGGUUAUAACUGACUUUUCUGUUGAUAUCACAUCACACAUCCAAUCUGUUAGUAAAUCUUGUCAUCUCUACCUUCAAAAUAUAAUCUCGGACUAUUUCUCACUUGCUACCACCAUCAUCUGCUGUCUGGAUUGUUGCAGUAGCUUCCUAACAGAUAUCCAGUUCCUACUUUUUUGCUCCUGUGGUUUACUGUCCUCAGAGCAGUCAGAGUGAUUUUUCUAAAAUACAAGUCAAAUAAUGUUGUUUCUGCUUAAAUUUUUCUAGAACUGGGCAGAGUGGCUCACACCUACAAUCCCCUAGGAGGGAAGGACAAAGGCAUCCAUAUCACCUCGCCACAGUGGUUGUGGUGGAAGCUGUAGCACUGAAGAGAUGCAGCCCCAUGGAAGAUGCUGCCAAGAGAGGGAGACAGAGCUACGUCUGGUGUCUCCCUUCCUCCUUACCUGGUGCCUCCCUCCUCCUGUCCUCCUGUCUCCCUUCAGAUGAAGGAACUGAUGCUGAGACUUGCACUCUACCAUAGGCGGAAGCACCCACCACCCUGUUCCCAGCCCUGGAAGGGCAAGGAAUGAAUCUGAGGCAAAUAGGGCCAGCACUGGCAGUCUGCUCGAUUUUCCCUCAGAGCAUUUAUCUUCCUUGACAUAUUUACAAUUUUUUGUCUAUUUUUGGUUUCUCUAACUUGACUAGAAUGUAAGAUCCACAAGGCUUGGGCUUUGCUCUUUUGUUCACUAUGUCCAUAGCUCCUGUAACAGUGCCUAAAACAUAGUAGGCAAUCAAUAGAUAUUCUUUGGAUAAACAAAUAUGCCUCAACAUUGAGUCUAACUUACAGCAGACAUUGAAUAAAUAUCUAUUGAAUGAAUGAGACUAACAAUUUACUACAAAAGCAGUUCUUAUGUGAAAUAUGACAGGGUUGACAUCUUAACUGAAAUCCAUCUUGAGAGAUUUUUUUUAACCCACCGAGAUUUCUGAGAACACAUUUAUUUGAAGAACCUUAUAUUUUAUGAUGCAUUUUUAUAUGUGAAUUUUUUGAAACCCUACUAUCUUAUUUCCUGAGGGGUUUUAGACUCAGCUAUUCUUCAUUUCAUUUUUAUACAUUUGUGCAGCUGAACACUUCCUACUUUAUUCUUUUUGUUUCUAAGUUCCUAAAAAUAGUUCAGAAAAUCCAAAAUUAUGAACUCGAUUCAUCCAAAAAAAUGAACAAAUCAAAUAACUUUGAAAAUAAAUGCUUUCACUAUUUAUUACUAACAAAAUUGAACAGUAUAAUCCAGAAAAAUUGAGCAAAAAUAAUUUAUAAAUCUCAAGAUUAAAACCAAAUAUGGCUUUAUGAUUGUAUUAGUCCAUUUUCACACUGCUAUAAAGAUACUACCCAAGACUGGGUAAUUUACAAACAAAGAAGGUUUAAUUGACUCACAAUUCUGCAGGGCUGGGGAGGCCUCAGGAAACUUACAAUCAUGGUGGAAUGGAAAGCAGGCACCGUCUUUACAAGGUGUCAGGAGAGAGGGAGAGCAGGGGAAACCACCACUUAUAAAACCAUAAGAUCUCGUGGGAACACACUCACUCUCAUGAGAAUAGCAUGGAGAAAGCCGCCCCCAUGAUCCAAUCACCUCCCAUCAGGUCCCUCCGUUGACAUGUGGGCAUUAUGAUUCUGAUUACAAUUGGAGAUGAGAUUUGGGUGGGGACACAGCCAAACCAUAUUGGUCAAUUAAGCGAUAAAUACUAUAAAAAUUAUAAAUAGUGGUCAAACUGAAACAUUUCUCUGUUUCAGAAACUUUUCACUUUAAGAAAGUCUUAAAUUCAUUGUUGAUUACCUUGUUCACAUUUUCUCGAUCUCUCCUAGAGAUCAAAUUAGGACUGAUUUGUAUCAAUAAAUCUGGAUUUUGAUUUCCUUUAUGACUUUGGAUAGAUUUCUGGAUGGUGAGUGAAUACAGACUUAAACUUUAAGAAAGUGCCUGCUUCCAGCUUCUGGCUGGAGGCUACACUUCCCAGCCUGUCAGAACAGCCACCCUGAAAACUGCAAUCCAUUAUGAGAAAUAAAGCUCUCUUUUUUAAAUUAAAAAGAAAAAGGAAUUAAAAUGUAGGAUUUGGUGACCAAUUUAAGUAUGUUAAAGAUAUGUUUUGGCUACUGAGCUUCCUCUGAGAUUCUUUAUACUCAAACACAAACAAAGCACUGAAUUUCAACCUGAAAAUAUGUCAUGUGUUUCAAAUAACUUGAAGAACAAAAACAACAACAAAAAUCCUGUUAUUUUCUGGGAAAAAUGAUUCAUUUCAGGUAAAACCCAUGACAUAUUUUUAGGUCACCAAAUCCCACGUUUUAAUUCCUUUUUCAUUAGGAGAGUCCACCCAUGAUAAACAAUAGGAAGGUUGUAAUGAGUUUCUGUCUUUGUCCUCAGGCAAGAAGAAAUUCAAAUACAUUCUUUCUGUGUGAAUUCAUUUCUUUUCCACCUCAGCUGUUCAAAUCUCCAAAAUGAAUAACUAUUGCCAGCACUGUCUUGUUCAUGCUUGUUUUUAAAGCUGUUUCUUUCUUUUGAGACGUAAUCGCAGGCCCUUAAGAAAACCAGAAGGGACAAGCCAAGUGUCAAUUAUGUUUGUUGUUCCAGCUAGUCUGUUUCUGUAAGUGUAUGAUAUAGGACAGAAAGAAUUGGCCCAUAUUUUUUUCCAAUUUUGAGAAACUCUGAGCUUAAUUUUUAGUUUUCCCAAUUGUUUUUACUUUAGAAUAAAUUGCUUAGUAUAUCUAAUUAUAAUAAUGAUGGCUCACAUUUACUGCGCAUUAACUACAUCAAGUACUUAUUGUAAGUGACGCAUGUGACCAGUUGCCAAUUGUUCAGGCUACAGCUUGGAUCUGUUAGCAUCCUCAUUUAACAAAUGGAGAAAUUGUAGCACAGAGAAGGAACUUUCCCCAGGUUCCAUGGUGAAUAAAUAGAGGAAGUGCUCAAUGAGCCUAACUAAUCUGGGUUGAAAGCUCAUACUCUUACCCAGCCUCCAAGCUAGCAGAUGGAAAUCAAAAUAUCUUAUUUUAAAGCUCUUUUCUAGGAGAAAAGAUACCUUGAUAAGCUGUUUUUCCAAGGAAUGGGAGGCCAUAAUGACAUGUUUAAAUGAGACAAUAAACAGGUUUACAUAACUAGUUUACAUUUAAAAAGAAAGAUAAAGAAACAGGAACUUGGGUUCCUCCCAGAGGUCAAAGAAGGGAGGGGUCAGACAGAAGAGCAGAAGGUUGGCAUCUGUGGGGAGGUCACUGUGGGGAGACGAUUUUGGAGGUGGGUUUGCCAAAGGAUAUUAAUAAGAUUUUUCCCUCUAAUUGUUUGAUGGGGAGCAUUAGAAACUCCAUAAGAUUUUGGAUUUUGGAAAUCAAGUUUAUUUAAAUCUUAAAGGAUGAGUGAUAUCACCUACUUUUUGAGUUAUAAAUCUUUAAUAUAAUUCUAAUAUUCAACAUAUAUGCUUUGAAAACUGUGUUUUUAGAUUUUCCACUGAAUUUGAAAUAGGAUUAUUUUUAUAGUUGAAUCUUGUCCUCUCCUACAGGUCAAUUUUUAAGAAUAUAUAUCCAGGAAAAAGUAACUGCCCAUAAGCAAAAAUGAGUGCAAUUUCUGGUGCUCUCCUAACUGUAAUAUCACACGUAUUUGUGCUACAGAACAAGAAUAGGGACAAGGAAAGAAAACAAACUUGACCAACAUUUGAGAAUCUACUACAUGUUAAGUAGUAAGUCAUACUACUUUUUAAAAUCCACUUUAUCGAAGUAGAGUAAACAUAUACAAUUCACUAAUUUUAUUUGCACAGCCUAUAUAUAUAUACACUAGUGUCACCACUGCAACAAUCAUGAUAUAGAACAUUUCUAUCACCCCAGAAAGUUUACUCAUGAUCCUUUGUAGUCAAUCCCUCCUCCCACUUCCCACCUUUGGCAAUCAGUGACCUGCUUUCUGUUACUAUAGUUUUGUCUCCUCUAAUUUUUCAUAUAAAUGGAAUCAUAUAUCAUGAAGUCUUUUGUAUCUGGUUUCAUUCACUUUCCAUAUUGCUUUUGGGAUUCAUCCAUAUUGUUUCAUGUGUCAGUCAUUUCUUCCUUUUUGUUGUUGAGUAUGGACAUUCCAGUUUGUCUAUUCAUCAACUGAUAGAUAUUUGGGUUGUUUCUAGAUUUUAGCUAUCAUAAAUAAAACUUUCAUGAACAUUUAUGUGCAAAUACUUAUUUGGGCAGGUUUUCAUUCUUCUUGGGUAAACAUUUAGAGUA
rnacentral:lncRNA from 1 species